rnacentral:SRP_RNA from 1 species
CCGUGCUAGACGGGGAGGUAGCGGUGCCCUGUAGCCCGCAAUCCGCUAUAGCGGGGUUGAAUUCCCCACCUUAGGCUUUCGCAUUUCAGGCUAUAUCGAAGGAAAGUGGUGUUGAAGACCAGGUCCUGCGCAACGGAACGUCGCCUAACCCCGUCAGGACCGGAAGGUAGCAGCGGUAAGUGAUUUCUUCGUGUGCCGCGGGAGCGCCUGGUUGGAGCUAACUGCCUUCGUGAUGCCUGGGAUGAGGAGUCGAAGGGGGGUGCACGG